GCCCACGCCGCCGGCUUGUCCAGUCCCGUCUCGUUUCCCGUACCACUCCCCUCUCACUCUCUCUCCGCCGCUUUCCAAUGCCGGCGAUGCUGCAGUAAAUCCUCCGGCGAAGGCGGCCGCGGCCCUGCUCGGUCGAUCCCUCCCACCCCAUGUCCAAGGUUUGAGCAGCUGGUGGCUGCUCCACCUUCCCGGCGUCUCACCGGCAGGCGGUCGUGCCAACAUUUCGUUCGAACCAUCAUGCUCGAUUCGCCUCCUCCCGCGCCGCCAGCAUGUGUUGAGAGGAGGUUGGUAGGAGAAAAUGCAAGUCUGCAAAAUAUGCACAGAGAGGGACAGGAGGCUGGGAUAAGGAAGCGGCUCCGAGAAGUCAAUUUUUUGCCAUCUUGGUACUCACAAUCAUGGGUAUCUAUGGUGCUCUUGAUGGGCUCCCAGCCUCAGGCUCCACGCUUCCCUUAGUGUUGAAUGGAUAUUGCAAAACUAACAGGUUGAUGGAUCUUGGGGCGUCAACGAAUUUGGCUUAUCAGACAAAAAGACUAUUCUCCUGUCCACAACUCCACAUUGACAUGUGUUGUUGCACUUAAAGAAAUGGAUUUUUUGCCGGGAGCACAUAAGGAGAGGUAUAGAAAAA